AGAGGUGCCUUGGUGGUGUCAGACACCUGUGUCUUAGCUCUUUCCUGGCGCUGGCUCCUGUGGAUUCCUUCUGGGCAGGAACUGUGCCACCUCCCUCAAGCCACUGAGCCCCCUUGGUGGGUCAGCUUAGCUCAGUGUCACGCUGGACAGAGAUGUCCAACAGACAACUGAGGACAAUGGAAAUGCCAGCUUAGGACUUCUUAAAGAGGGCAAAGGGUGAAGGGCUUUGAAGAAUUCUCCAGGCAAGAAAGGAAAGCAUUUUCUGCAAGGAAAAUGGAUGGCAUGUUGUUUUCCUUUACAAAGGGCAACGAGGAUAUAAUCUCAACGCUGCACUUGACCAUCAUCUGUCAAACCAAAGCAAACAAGCCAGUGCCAGUCUUUCUUCAUUGUUUAACUAGGACAGAAAAUAACUGCCAUGUGGCGGUUGUCUAGCCAAAGAAAACCACCCUCAUUUCAGAAAAUGUUUACUCAUUUGCUCUCAUUGAGUGAUGUGCCAUUAAGAGGGAUCCUGGUGCUACUUUUCUCCAAGCCAAAUCUCAAGACUGUCUCAGUAGCACUUUGUUGACUGAGAGAUCCAGAGUUAAAGGAACUUCUUAAGGUCGUGGUGCCCUUGGAUUCCCAUUAAGGUGGAUGACGGAAAGUUCUUUGAUAUUUACUUAGUGUGCACAGCAUACCAGGAACCUUACAACAGAUACACGGAGCACGCCGGCCUCUAGCUGGGCCUGACUAGGGAAGCCUUCCUGUAGGCUAAUUCUCUGCUGGUUCCAACUUCUGGAGUUCCUAGGGUUAUAACUUUCUUCAGCCAACAUCUAGAUUAUUGGCUAUGGAAGUGUGUUUAUACAAUACAGGCUGAAUCAGUUACACAUUGAAUAAGGUACACUUUGCUUAUUGGAAUAUCCUUGGAACAAUUUAAUUUUAUUUUGCCCAAAAAGAAACUUGCUCAGACACAUUUCUCUCUGAUCCAAACCUCUUACCCCCUCUCUGUUGUUGUAAACCCUCUAUUAUAAACCCUCUCUGGGGAAAUUCUGCAUUUUGUUUUGAAGGUAUUUUUUCUUCUAGAUAUGGCAACAUCUGGGAAUAUGACAUCGGAAACAAGCAGCAAAAUUUGAAUCUAUAUAUGGCUACUCACACAUCGUGUGUCUCCUAAGGCAGGAUUUUCUAGUUAAAUCUCUAUCUAACUAAGACAAUAAUAUCAAGUAUAGAGCUAGUUUAGCCAAACAAGAAAAAUAAGAAUGGAAGCAGUGCUCAGGAUAUGGGAAUACUUAAAAUUUUGUGGAGACAAAAUGAAAAUCUAAUGGUGUGUUAGCUGGGAGUUUUAGUUUCCUGGGAGUUUUAGUUAUUCAUGAAUCCCAGGGGGACAACCUGUGACAUGCUAAGUAGCCUCUAAAGGGGUUAUGGUCCAGAUUAAAAAUAUUUUCUUUUUGCCAGAGCUUUAGUGGUCUUCAUAUUUUAUACCUUUUUUUAUUAUUAAAUUUUUAUACUGUAAAAGAAUUUAGUAUAACGGUAACAUUCAUUUCAGGCAAGAUUUAGUCACAUGUCACAAAUACUAUGAAACAUACAACAUUAGAAAUUUAAGUUCUUCUUAAAACAAUCACUGUUGAAUACCAACUAAGGGCCUAAUCCAUGUGCUAUCAAUCAUUCUAGCAACUUGUGUAAGUAAAUACUUAAUUGCAGAAAAAAAAGUGUAAGUAAAUACUUAAUUGCAGAAAAAAAACAAAAACAGGGAGAAGGGAGAAUUCCCAGCAUAUGGAGUGGGAGGCAGUGCUACAGUGUGAAAGUCUAACGUUCCCUCCAUACUUUCCUAGCCCCCACCCUGUCAUAUGUCUGAUGCAGGAAACUCCUCUAUAAUAUCUAGGACAGAGGCUCAUUCAGCUUCUCCUUACAUAGUCUCAGGGUCAGGGAGCUCAGUAUCUGAAAAGUCAGCUCAUAACUUAUUUGCAUGGCUCUAGCUGUUAGAGAGUUCAAACGAUGAGCCCUCAAUUCUCUGCUUUAAGUCACCAUACUCUUUGCCAAGGCAAGCUGUUAUUUUAUGCUGUCAGAUUUUAUGAACACACGUACAUAGUUCACACAAAGCAUCUUCUGUGGACUGUUAGUAUUUUAGUAGAAUUGUGAUAUAACAAGGAGUCAUAUAGCAACAUUACACAAGAAACGUCUUACCUGUUUUGUUAACAUCUCCUUCUCUUGCUCUGAUAAAAUGCCCUCAGGUGAUCCUGGGGACAUACUAUAGUUGGGCAGAUUGGCAUGGAGAAAAAUCAGAUAGGACUUUAUUGGAAGUCACUCAUUCAACCCUGAAUUUCAUCUUCAACUUCCAUUUGGCUCCUCUUGUUGAUGGUAAGGAAAAAGGCCAUACCUAGGUUUCAAGUAAGGGUAUAUCUGAGAGGAGGGCUGGGAGAAUAGUUGGUCACUCAGUUACAGCUGUCACUGGCCAUGCUGUGUCCUCCUCACUACUGAGAAAAUGGGAGCAAGAGCAGCACACUAUCACUUUUACUUAGAAAGCCACUUAUAUAAUCAUAUAAUCCGGAGCUGGAAGACCAGCCCCAAUAUUUUACAGAUAGGAAAAUAGAUUUAAUAGUCUUUGACAGAAUAUCUACCAGACUUGCAAACUUAAAUGACUAUAGGACCAAAGAAGAAACACAGAUGAAUGAAGUGGGCAAGGCACAAGAUGUAAAUAGCCCUUUUUCAAAGAACACAAUAGGGAGUGCUGAGGACUAGGGAAAACUGGAGGACUCACGCCCAAUCUAAAAGAGGCAGCUGAUUCUCAACUCUAAUGGGUUACUACUAUGAAGGAAUGUAGACCCAGUGCUGCCAGAAAUCUGAAUUUUUAUGCGAAUGAUCCUAAAUGAUUAACUGUUCAAACCGAAAGCACUUUGUGGACUAACAUAGUGCAGGCCAACCGAAACAAGCCUGAGAGCCAAAUUCUGUUUGCAGAUGCUGGUGUACGGCUUGGGGAGCUAGUGGGUAGCUCGUGUCCUGAGUAAGGGCAUUAAAGAGUCGGACUGUGAGCGGAUCCAGAUGGUUUUCGGCAGUUGGCCUUUGCCCAUUCCUCCCCCUUCUCUAGAAUAGAUUGCAUUAAGCUUUGUGUCGACCCUAGAGAAAUGCCUGGUUGUUCUCUGAGAUCGAUUGACCUUAUCAGGGUGCAAAGUAAGAAGCCAGCUGAGACUGGGAGAGUAGGGGAAUGAACCCAGAAUCAGCAGUAAAACAAUAGGAACACAGGAGACCACAGAAAGGUCAAGCACAUUUAAAGAUAUGUCUAAAUUUCUCUUGUUGCAUUUUUUUUUCUUUUUCCUAAAAAAGCCCUUUUCUUAGUGCAUCUUGCAAGUACCAUCUUCAACCAAGAGUGUAGUUAAUGGAUUUGCAAUCAGUUCUCUUUAGUCUUCUGGAACACGAUAACUGGUAGUUACCUUUAAUUUCAACUGACAUGUGCACUUCAGGGGAUCAGAUGGGAAAAGUGCCUGACAGGAACACAGGGGAAGUUCAGUCCUGAUUGGAAAGGAAUGAUUUAUGCCAAUCGAUGCCGAAAUGCAGCAUGUUUCUAUUUAAGAGGACCUGCUAGAGGAAUGCAGCUUUUGUGCCUCUCCUCAUUUAUCACGGUGUUUACAAAUCUUGUUUGAAGUUGAAAGUAAAUCAUCAUCCUGCUGCUUGUGGCUGUUUUACAGCUAAGAGUUUUAGAGGUGAUGGAGCAUGAGUCUAUCAAUGGAGUCAUGUGGCAGAGUGAAGGGAAAGGGGCCUGUGGAGAGGCACCCAUGGUAUGUAUGACACUUAAUGUAGGAAAGGGGCCAAUGGCCAAGUCCUGAAAGAGGGUGAGCACUUCUUCGAAAUAAUUAUUGUCCCAGUUGAAUGGUAUCGCUACAUAAAGUACAGAACUAACUGGGAUUUGGAGUUUUGAUCAGAUGAUAGCAUCAAAAAACAGUCUGGUCCCUCAGUUUCAAGGUCAUAUAUAAAAUGUGAGUGGUGCAUCAAAUAAGGAAGAUAAGGCCUUCACCUCAUGGAACCUCCUGUUAAUCGAAUUCUCAGGCUUCAUGGUCAUCACAUCUGGGCAUAUUUAUUGUAGAGUAGAGAAGACUCAGAAGGGUUGUGUCUCCCUUUCAGUAUGUCAAAGAUCAUGAUAUGAAAGCAGGAUUAGACACCAGAGGACAGGUAGAGGCUAAAGGGGGCAGAAAUCAGAUUUGACAUUAGAAAGAAUUUUCUAAUAAUUAGAGUUGUUUGCAAAUAGAAGAGGCCUUGAGUCCGGGCUGAGCAAUGGCGUGGAAGUGAUGUUCUAAAAGAUCCAGUCAUCCUAUGGGGCUGAGGAAGUUUCCAUUCUACUCUAACCUUGAGAUUCUGUGAUUCUAAUGAUCUGGUUUGGAAUCCUGAAAGGACCAACCCUCCUGCAUUUCCUGCUUCCUGGAUUAUAAACCAUGUUCUAAAACCAAUAAUUCAGCUUUUUUAUCUACCAGUUGGGGUUCCCUCAUACAGAAAUCAAUAUAUGACUAAUAUCGAAGUUAAAUAGGAAAUAUAAGCAAUAUGAAAUGUGAGGAAAUCUCAGAAGUCAAAGUUAAGUGAAUACAUAUUUAAAAAUCAUGUUACUUCCUAGUUAAAAGCUGGAUCAGAUUGAUUUGUGUUUUAUCUAAAUAAAUACAACUAGUGGUUAAAAUCCCAGACUCUGGAGCCAGAUUGCCUGUGUUUAAGUCCUAGUUCUGUCUUAGAGUAGACCUUGAGAAAAUCAUUUAAGCUUUUAGUGUCUCUGUUUCGUCAUCUAUGAAAUGGAGUUAAUGAUAGUACCCACCUCACAAAAUUUGUGGGAAGAGAGCAUAUAAAACAUUUAGAUCUGAGCAUGGCGCAGAGUAUGCGAUCAACUGUGCCAGCUGCCACUGCUGAUGUUAUUGUUACAUAGCAAAAUGAUAGGCUGUGUUUCAGAGCUGACAUGAUAGACUCCAUUUUACUUUUUUCCCUCAGGAAUUUAUUCCAAUAAUAGCCCAUUUGGUGUUUGAAUGGUAUAUAAAUAUUUUAACUGAAUGUUUUCUUGUUCAAGCUGGUGAUAUUAUGAAGACUUUUUGUCAGAAUGAUGAUACAUUUAAUAAAAAGAUUAAAAGAAGUUUGUUAUCUAAGGAAAUUUACCUUUGACUAGUCAGGUAUUUUUCAGACUUCAACCUUAUAGACCCGUAUUAAUAUGUUUGACUACUUAACAGCAUUACAGAAAUGUGAUUGAGCCAGUUAAGGAUCUUUCGUUUGCUAAUUAUCAAAGAAUUUGGUUCUCUAAGAUGUAGUCUCAGCUCUUAUGGUACAUUCUGAGUUACAGAAAUUGGCCCACAUUUAUUAUAUUUUUUUUUUAAACCAGGAAUUAACACAUAGAAUCUUAAUUAAAAUAUGAUAGCUAAAUAUAAGAUACCUGGGUAAUCCGAAAGAAUGCUAAUUAUUUAGCACUAAAAUAUGAACUGUUAGAAUGGCAAUUUGAAGCUAAUAAACACAUGUGUUUAUAUACAUACAUUGUAUUUUGCAUGUAUAUACAUAUUUGUAUACAUGUAUAUUUUAUUACCCUAUCCUCAAAUAUAUCUUCACAGUAGUAUAAUUAGAGCUGAAUUUAGGAACCAGAUGUUGGAAAGCAUGGAAAGUUGAUUGUCACGAACACAAAUGUUACACAUAAGCAGUUACUAAGUUAAAAGAAGGUUUAUGCAAUGGACAUUCAUUCCUCAAAUAUUUUUUGAUUCUCUACAAUAUGCAGGGCUACCUGUUUAUCAAUAAUACUGAUAUGAGGACUUAAUUCUUUAAAAUCUUUUAACUUUGUAUUUGAAAAUAGUUUCAAAAUUUUAAGAAAGUUGUAAGAAUAAGAAUCGUUCGCAGAACACACAUGCAUCCUUUACCCAGAUGCCUUUCUACCCUCUUUGCUUUAUCACAUGUGCUAUCGAGCUAUAAUAUUUUUUGAACCACUGAAGGGUAAACUACAGCAUGGUCCUUUUAUUUCCAAAUAUUUCAGUGUGUAUUUCCUAAGAAUAAGGAUAUUCUCUUUCAUAACUAUAGUACAAUUAUCGACUCUAGUAAUUUGAACAUGGAUACUUUACUGUCUGUACUUCCAUUUUAUCAACUGACACAAUUAUUUUCUUUAUAGCAUAUUUCUUCCUUCCAGUACAAGAGCCAGUCCUGGGCUAGGCAAUUAAUUAUGUCUUUUUAGCCUCUUUUAACA